GAAAGAAAGGUUCCUGAAUAAACUGCUUUGAGAAGAACUUCGUGGUGUCUCUCCUAUCUGCAGGACGGAGACGGAGACGACACCGGUGCCAUACAGACAGAAUCUCAAACUGUAGCUGAGAUUGGCUUGGCUUGGAACACGUGUGUAGUUCAUGCUGGCAUCAGACUUAUGGCAAUUCUCCUGCUUCAGCCUCCUACUCAGGAGCCUACCAGGGUGAGAUCACAACCACGGAGCCAGCGACUCUUCUAUGGAGAGCAGCUGUGCAGGCAGGGGGUGGAGCAGAAGAAGGCGAGCUGCUGUGACAUCAUCAAGAUGCUGCCUAGCCCUGCGUCUCUGCUCUUCUGAGGAAGCAGGAGACUGAGCCCUCUGACAAUGACUUGUUGAGUCACUCUGUUGUGUGG
ensembl:lncRNA